UGGGCAACCUGCCCCAGACACAGGGAUAACCCCGGGAAACCGGGGCUAAUACCGGAUACUCCGGUCGAACCGCAUGGCUCGAUCGCGAAAGCUCCGACGGUCUGGGAUGGGCCCGCGGCCUAUCAGCUUGUUGGUGGGGUAACGGCCUACCAAGGCGACGACGGGUAGCCGGCCUGAGAGGGUGACCGGCCACACUGGGACUGAGACACGGCCCAGACCUCCGUACGGGAG
rnacentral:rRNA from 1 species